rnacentral:sRNA from 1 species
GUUUCAAUUCCUCAUAGGCAGGCUAUCGGCAAGCUACAGAGUUCACACGCUUUUUCAAGCGUGCAGAG